rnacentral:lncRNA from 1 species
CAGGGGAGGGAGACGGAGCGGACGUGGUAGGCCGCGGCGCGGGCCCUGGAGACGCGCGCCGGGCUGAGCGGGAAGGAGAUGGAGCGGCCGAAGCUGGGCGCCAUUGCUGCUGCCUGAGCUAGCUAACUAGCUGGAGGAGCCUAGACGGUUGACUUGGUGCUGCUGCUUGCGCUUUGCUUGCCGUGAUGAAUGAUGAGAGGGAUGGGGUGGCGAGGGGUAUAUAAGGGUGGAGCUAGCGCGGGCGCCGGCCAUGGAGCGACACGGUGGGUGGGGUGGGGAGAGCGCGUGCG